AUUGAAAACUGCCUCGUCAUUCAAUACGCAUAUUCAAUACCUAAAGAGUAAAUCUCAUCAGCGUCAGGUAGCCAAUAAGCACGCAGCAUGCUCCUACCAAGAUCUAAUAAUGUUUGGUGUCUGACCACAACUG